UUCAAAGGAAGGACAGGAACUUAGUACAACCAAUAAGGAAAGCAGGCAAGAGCAAACAAGUGCACAUACAGGAGGAUCUAAAACUUAUGCACAACAUGCAUAUGAUAUGGAGCAAAAAGAUAAGAUUGCACUAGAUCGAGCAAAAUUAUAUAUACCGCUUCACAAAAGGAAGGAUGGGACACCAGUCAAUGAAGCAACAACUACAAAAAUU